AGCGAACGCUGGCGGCAGGCUUAACACAUGCAAGUCGAGCGGGCACUUCGGUGUCAGCGGCAGACGGGUGAGUAACACGUCGGAACGUACCCUUCGGCUCGGAAUAACGCUGGGAAAUUAGCGCUAAUACCGGAUACGCUCUUUUGGGGAAAGGUUUACUGCCGAAGGAUCGGCCCGCGUCUGAUUAGCUUGUUGGUGGGGUAAUGGCCUACCACGGCGACGAUCAGUAGCUGGGCUGAGAGGAUGAGCAGCCACUCUGAGACUGAGACACGGCCCAGACUCCUACGGGAGGCAGCAGUGGGGAAUAUAGGACAAUGGGCGCAAGCCUGAUCCAGCCAUGCCGCGUGAGUGAUGAAGGCCUUAGAGAUGUAAAGCUCUUUUGUCCGGGACGAUAAUGACGGUACCGAAAGAAUAAGCCCCGGCUAACUUCGUG
rnacentral:rRNA from 1 species